rnacentral:misc_RNA from 1 species
AAAACUAACCUGCAGCUCCUCCCUCUAUAACAAAUCUCAAACAAGAAAAAACACACACAAACAGAUUCUUCAUUGUAUACAUCAAAUUUCUUUCUUUCUCUAAGAUCAAUACAUGAUUUAUAACCUCGUCGAUGCACAAAAAUCCUUCAAAUGUUCCAUUUGUGUAUGCAGUAGCCCGUGUUCUUUAGCGAGCCUACAUGAGUGUUCAGUAAUUAGCUCGUACGUUGAAGGCCUCUCCCAUGGAACAAUUCCGAAAUCAUCAUUAUACAGUUCCAUUCCUUCAACCAAGAACUGCCAGAAGAAUGAUCCUGCACCUGACCUGUUUCUUUUAGCAGACUUGUAUAUGAAAUCAAGAACCAUUUUGUAGAAUCUGUCUCGUUGAGCAGGUUCAAAGUCCUCGUUCUCAUUUGACAAACCGAAUUCAGUGAACAUGAUUGGUUUUCUCAGUUCCUUGUCACCGUCUUCUAUGUGAGAAAGCAUCCAUUUGGCUGCAAAUUUUAGUUUUUCUUCGAAAUUUUUAUCAUGGAACCAAUGGUCUGGAUAUACAUGUACAGAGGCAAAAUCAAUUGUCGAG